GUAGCACAGUUCAAGGUCGGUUUGCAUAAGAUAUUUAUUGUAGAAAUAGCAAAUAAAACGUCACAUGAUAGAGAUUAAAAAAAUAAAUAAAUCAGAACAUGGAUUGGGCAACUAUGCUUGAGUCCAGUUCGCAAAACAAUAAGGAAAAUAUGUUUUCUUUUUCAACAUGACAAAAGCUUUUAUUUGACGUGACCCUGCUGUUUACCAGCGGCCGUCUCUGUCACUGGAGCCACUUGAUUAUUCCUGCUAAAUGAACCAAAGGGGUCUACUCAGCUGGUGUGAGGACCGACGCUCUGAACACACACAGAAAGAGGAAGCACAGACAAGCAGCCCCUUGUUGUGAACAUGCAGCUGGACAGCAAGGCUUUCAGACACUCAGAGUGGCUGCUGGUGCGGCUAUUGAAACAUCUUUUAAUGAUCCAAACAAGUUUCCCUUCAGUCCCCUCUGUGUGUGUGCCCAGCCGACUGCAUCAGAACACACAUGCUCUACCCACUGCUCCCUCCACAGCCCAUUACUGCACUGGGCACAGAGAGGCACCCUCUGCAGCGGAGCAGCUCAGUGAUCUUCACUGGGAACCCUGAAGCAGAAGUGACAGCCCAGCCUCUGCAGAUAAUGAAUACUCAGGCAUGGAGCUGUGUCUUAAUAAGAACGUGGUCUACAUCAAUCAGCUCUCCACAUAUAAUAUUCAUAACCUUCAAGAACACACAGCUGAACUAAUGGCAGACAGGACGUGUGUGUCCCCCUCUUUCAAUAUUGGAAUCCCUGUGUUCAUCAAUCCUUCACACACAUGGAAAUAAGACUCCCAUCGUAGUAAAACCUGGGUUGAGUGAAACUUCUGUGUGAUACAAGCCUUAUUUCCAUCCCUGUAUCAUGAAUGUAGCUUUAUAUCCCCUGAUGAAGCCUUGUCAUCAAGCCAGCCCAGUCAUAGCAUUUAUUUACCCCAGUAUUGGACUGAUUGCUUUGUCCUUGUUCGAGGAGACGCAGAGUGCCAACUGUGUAACUACUGUAAUGGCAAUACAUUGUAUAAUCAAUACUUUGUAUAGUCUAGGUUUUCAAUAAAG